rnacentral:rRNA from 1 species
UACGUAGGGGGCAAGCGUUGUCCGGAAUCAUUGGGCGUAAAGAGCGUGUAGGCGGCCACACAGGUCUGCUGUGAAAACUCGAGGCUCAACCUCGAGCUGUCGGUGGAAACCGUGUGGCUAGAGUCCGGAAGAGGAGAGUGGAAUUCCCGGUGUAGCGGUGAAAUGCGCAGAUAUCGGGAAGAACACCCGUGGCGAAGGCGGCUCUCUGGGACGGUACUGACGCUGAGACGCGAAAGCGUGGGGAGCGAACAGG